ACGAACGCUGGCGGCGUGCUUCACACAUGCCAGUCGCACGGGCCCGCUCUCUUUUUUGGGGGUGGGUUGAGUGGCGAACGGGUGAGUAUCACGUGAGUAACCUGCCCCCUGCUCCUGGAUAACUGCUUGAAAGGGCGGCUAAUACGGGGUGUGCCGGCUGGUCCGCAUGGGCCUGGUCGGGAUAGUUUCAUCUUCGGGUGUUUCGGUGGGGGAUGGGCUCGCGGCCUAUCAGCUUGUUGGUGGGGUGAUGGCCCACCAAGGCGGUGACGGGUAGCCGGCCUGAGAGGGUGGGCGGCCAGACUGGGACUGAGACACGGCCCAGACUCCGGCGGGAGGCAGCAGUGGGGGGUAUUGCACAAUGGGCGGAAGCCUGAUGCAGCGACGUCGCGUGAGGGAUGGAGGCCUUCGGGUGGUGAACCUCUUUCUCCGGUGGUGAAGGCCCUGUCCGUUGCGGCGGGGUUGACGGUAGCCGGGUAUGAAGCGCCGGCUAACUACGUG
rnacentral:rRNA from 1 species